AACGAACGCUGGCGGCAUGCCUAACACAUGCAAGUCGAACGAGAUCUUCGGGUCUAGUGGCGCACGGGUGCGUAACGCGUGGGAAUCUGCCCUUUGGUUCGGAAUAACAGUUGGAAACGACUGCUAAUACCGGAUGAUGACGAAAGUCCAAAGAUUUAUCGCCAGAGGAUGAGCCCGCGUAGGAUUAGCUAGUUGGUGUGGUAAAGGCGCACCAAGGCGACGAUCCUUAGCUGGUCUGAGAGGAUGAUCAGCCACACUGGGACUGAGACACGGCCCAGACUCCUACGGGAGGCAGCAGUGGGGAAUAUUGGACAAUGGGCGAAAGCCUGAUCCAGCAAUGCCGCGUGAGUGGUGAAGGCCUUAGGGUUGUAAAGCUCUUUUACCCGGGAUGAUAAUGACAGCACCGGGAGAAUAAGCUCCGGCUAACUCCGUGCCAGCCGCCGCGGUAACAC
rnacentral:rRNA from 1 species